CAAUGCUAUGAUGGUCAAAGCUCAUAGGAAUUGGACGUUUUUUGCGUACAGUUUCUGAGGGUUU
rnacentral:sRNA from 1 species